CUAUGGUGCAACUAAACUAAAUACCUCAGUUGCAUCUCCUUGAGUCCCUGAGAAACUGAGCUUGGCAUCUUCAUGGUGCCACGAACUAAUUUUAACGGUCAUAGAAAUUACUGGACCUAUGGUGCAACUAAAUUAAAUACCUCAGUUGCAUCUCCUUGAGUCCCUGCCUGAAUUCAGAGCAGAACUGCAAUUACGACUGGUGUAUGUAAGACAUAACAAAAUCUGUUAUGUCUGAACAGAGCCUCCAUACCUGAGAAGCAUCUCUUUGAAUCCCAAAGAAGCUGCAGUUGCCACCUUCAUGAGUCACACAGAUCACGAACCCAAAGUGCAGCUGAACGAAGUACCUGAGACGCUUUGCCUCCAGCCUGGAAGAUCGACUCGUCAUCCUCAGCGGCGGAGGCAGAAGAGGAUGUGGAAGAAGCCUGCUUUGAUAUCCNUCCUCCAUCAUCUUCAAGACUUCAGCAUCUUUCCGGGAGAGUUCAGACUUUCCUGGGCUGUCCAGCGAGCCUGCACGNGCAUCCUCAGAAGUGCGUACGCUUCUGACCUCACUGCCAUCGCUGGACGUGGGGCAGCAACCCAAGAGAAUCUGUAUGUCCAUAAUCUGCUUUUGAAGAUCACCAAUAGUAAGAGAUUGGCCUUCUUUCCUAUUUGUUAUUGAUUUGUGGUNCUUGCCAGAGGUAGGCAUGGUCUCUCAGCUGACAGGUGGGCUCAAUUUCCAUGUUGAGCCGUGGAGCAGGAGAAAAGCGCCAGGUGGUUUGUUGGUGAGCUUUGGCACUUAAGACAGGCCAGGGCUGGCACUGGUAAGGCUACCUGUUGGCCUUCAACAGUGUUGGCACACCAUGUUUGCUGUUCUGCAGAUCUUCAGCAUUCAGGGAAAGGGUCCGGACCCUUUGCACACCUCUAGUGCUGGCACUGGAGAGGUGCAGUGUUAGUCUUUUUGUGUAGNUUUUGUGGUCAGCCCACUGUGGCCUGGCAUUUAAAAGAGGCAGCACAGUUUUCCUUGCUGAGUUCUGGCACUUGACUGAUGUGGCUGCGGUUCCUUUCCUGAAGUCUGGCCUUGAAAGCAAGGGACAAAGAUGAGAGUCCUUGGGGAUUGCUGCUGUGUUUGUAUAUUGUGAUGGGGAAAUUUCUAUUGUUUGCCAUUUCUAUGGAAAUGUCAUUUACUGAAUUUUAUACUAAUACUGCAUGUUAAUAUUGCAUAUUUCUGUCUGUUUUAUUUUGCUUGACCAUAUUGUGUAACAAAUGUAUAGAAGUAAACAUGUGAUGAUGGUGGCUUUCUAUGGCCAUUUGGGUGCUUUGAGAUGGAUUUGCAUGCCCCCAAGAAGGUCAGGGACCUUCACAAGGUUGAACAGCAAAAGGGGGCUUUCCCCCGCUUCUUUUCCUGCUGUUCUAAGUGGCAAACAUCCCUCAAAUCACUGUUGGCCAUAGAGACAACGAAUGAUCAGAUUUCCUCUGUUCUGUGCAGCUUCUUGAAUAUCAAGGGACCACUGCCUUGCUGUUUGCGGUCUUGAGGGUGGGCAUUCCUUUUCAGGUAUCCACCGUGCGUUUGACCCAGAUGGCCAACGAGAGCUGCUGUUUUCCAUCUGCUGUUGUAAACUACCUCAAGCUCAUUGUGUAUAUGAAUAAACAUAACUCCGAAAACUGUUAUGGUGUCUGC
ensembl:lncRNA